rnacentral:rRNA from 1 species
AGGGUGUAAACGCUGCAGACUUGGUGUUGGGAACCCUUCGGGGGUGCUCAGUGCCGGAGAGAAGUUGUUAAGUCUGCUACUUGGGGAGUACGUCCGCAAGGAUGAAACUUAAAGGAAUUGGCGGGGGAGCACCGCAACGGGAGGAGCGUGCGGUUUAAUUGGAUUCAACGCCGAAAAACUCACCAGCAGCGACUGUUACAUGAAAGUCAGGUUGAUGACCUUACUAGAUUUUCAGAGAGGAGGUGCAUGGCGUCAGUGACU